UGCUGGAGGUAUCAGAAGUGCGAAUGCUGACAUAAGUAACGAUAAAGCGGGUGAAAAGCCCGCUCGCCGGAAGACCAAGGGUUCCUGUCCAACGUUAAUCGGGGCAGGGUGAGUCGACCCCUAAGGCGAGGCCGAAAGGCGUAGUCGAUGGGAAACGGGUUAAUAUUCCCGUACUUGGUGUUACUGCGAAGGGGGGACGGAGAAGGCUAUGUUGGCCGGGCGACGGUUGUCCCGGUUUAAGCGUGUAGGUGUGUGUUCCAGGUAAAUCCGGUUCACUUUAACACUGAGGCGUGACGACGAGGCACUACGGUGCUGAAGCAACAAAUGCCCUGCUUCCAGGAAAAGCCUCUAAGCAUCAGGUAACAUCAAAUCGUACCCCAAACCGACACAGGUGGUCAGGUAGAGAAUACCAAGGCGCUUGAGAGAACUCGGGUGAAGGAACUAGGCAAAAUGGUGCCGUAACUUCGGGAGAAGGCACGCUGACACGUAGGUGAAGUGAUUUACUCAUGGAGCUGAAGUCAGUCGAAGAUACCAGCUGGCUGCAACUGUUUAUUAAAAACACAGCACUGUGCAAACACGAAAGUGGACGUAUACGGUGUGACGCCUGCCCGGUGCCGGAAGGUUAAUUGAUGGGGUCAGCGCAAGCGAAGCUCCUGAUCGAAGCCCCGGUAAACGGCGGCCGUAACUAUAACGGUCCUAAGGUAGCGAAAUUCCUUGUCGGGUAAGUUCCGACCUGCACGAAUGGCGUAAUGAUGGCCAGGCUGUCUCCACCCGAGACUCAGUGAAAUUGAACUCGCUGUGAAGAUGCAGUGUACCCGCGGCAAGACGGAAAGACCCCGUGAACCUUUACUAUAGCUUGACACUGAACAUUGAGCCUUGAUGUGUAGGAUAGGUGGGAGGCUUUGAAGUGUGGACGCCAGUCUGCAUGGAGCCGACCUUGAAAUACCACCCUUUAAUGUUUGAUGUUCUAACGUGGACCCGUAAUCCGGGUUGCGGACAGUGUCUGGUGGGUAGUUUGACUGGGGCGGUCUCCUCCUAAAGAGUAACGGAGGAGCACGAAGGUUGGCUAAUCCUGGUCGGACAUCAGGAGGUUAGUGCAAUGGCAUAAGCCAGCUUGACUGCGAGCGUGACGGCGCGAGCAGGUGCGAAAGCAGGUCAUAGUGAUCCGGUGGUUCUGAAUGGAAGGGCCAUCGCUCAACGGAUAAAAGGUACUCCGGGGAUAACAGGCUGAUACCGCCCAAGAGUUCAUAUCGACGGCGGUGUUUGGCACCUCGAUGUCGGCUCAUCACAUCCUGGGGCUGAAGUAGGUCCCAAGGGUAUGGCUGUUCGCCAUUUAAAGUGGUACGCGAGCUGGGUUUAGAACGUCGUGAGACAGUUCGGUCCCUAUCUGCCGUGGGCGCUGGAGAACUGAGGGGGGCUGCUCCUAGUACGAGAGGACCGGAGUGGACGCAUCACUGGUGUUCGGGUUGUCAUGCCAAUGGCACUGCCCGGUAGCUAAAUGCGGAAGAGAUAAGUGCUGAAAGCAUCUAAGCACGAAACUUGCCCCGAGAUGAGUUCUCCCUGAGAC
rnacentral:rRNA from 3 species